rnacentral:rRNA from 1 species
AGCGAACGCUGGCGGCAGGCUUAACACAUGCAAGUCGAACGGGCACUUCGGUGCUAGUGGCAGACGGGUGAGUAACGCGUGGGAACGUGCCUUUCGGUUCGGAAUAAUCCAGGGAAACUUGGACUAAUACCGGAUACGCCCUUCGGGGGAAAGAUUUAUCGCCGAAAGAUCGGCCCGCGUCUGAUUAGCUAGUUGGUGAGGUAAAGGCUCACCAAGGCGACGAUCAGUAGCUGGUCUGAGAGGAUGAUCAGCCACACUGGGACUGAGACACGGCCCAGACUCCUACGGGAGGCAGCAGUGGGGAAUAUUGGACAAUGGGCGAAAGCCUGAUCCAGCCAUGCCGCGUGAGUGAUGAAGGCCUUAGGGUUGUAAAGCUCUUUUGUCCGGGAAGAUAAUGACUGUACCGGAAGAAUAAGCCCCGGCUAACUUCGUGCCAGCAGCCGCGGUAAU